UCGGAGGUACUCGAGUGGCGAACGGGUGAGUAACACGUGGGCAAUCUGCCCUGCACUUCGGGAUAAGCCUGGGAAACUGGGUCUAAUACCGGAUAGGACCUCAAGACGCAUGUCUUCUGGUGGAAAGCUUUUGCGGUGUGGGAUGGGCCCGCGGCCUAUCAGCUUGUUGGUGGGGUGACGGCCUACCAAGGCGACGACGGGUAGCCGGCCUGAGAGGGUGUCCGGCCACACUGGGACUGAGAUACGGCCCAGACUCCUACGGGAGGCAGCAGUGGGGAAUAUUGCACAAUGGGCGCAAGCCUGAUGCAGCGACGCCGCGUGGGGGGAUGACGGCCUUUCGGGUUGUAAACCUCUUUCACCAUCGACGAAGGUCCGGGUUUUCUCGGAUUGACGGUAGGUGGAGAAGAAGCACCGGCCAACUACGUGCCAGCAGCCGCGGUAAUACGUAGGGUGCGAGCGUUGUCCGGAAUUACUGGGCGUAAAGAGCUCGUAGGUGGUUUGUCGCGUUGUUCGUGAAAUCUCACGGCUUAACUGUGAGCGUGCGGGCGAUACGGGCAGACUAGAGUACUGCAGGGGAGACUGGAAUUCCUGGUGUAGCGGUGGAAUGCGCAGAUAUCAGGAGGAACACCGGUGGCGAAGGCGGGUCUCUGGGCAGUAACUGACGCUGAGGAGCGAAAGCGUGGGGAGCGAACAGGAUUAGAUACCCUGGUAGUCCACGCCGUAAACGGUGGGUACUAGGUGUGGGUUUCCUUCCUUGGGAUCCGUGCCGUAGCUAACGCAUUAAGUACCCCGCCUGGGGAGUACGGCCGCAAGGCUAAAACUCAAAGGAAUUGACGGGGGCCCGCACAAGCGGCGGAGCAUGUGGAUUAAUUCGAUGCAACGCGAAGAACCUUACCUGGGUUUGACAUGCACAGGACGCGUCUAGAGAUAGGCGUUCCCUUGUGGCCUGUGUGCAGGUGGUGCAUGGCUGUCGUCAGCUCGUGUCGUGAGAUGUUGGGUUAAGUCCCGCAACGAGCGCAACCCUUGUCUCAUGUUGCCAGCGGGUAAUGCCGGGGACUCGUGAGAGACUGCCGGGGUCAACUCGGAGGAAGGUGGGGAUGACGUCAAGUCAUCAUGCCCCUUAUGUCCAGGGCUUCACACAUGCUACAAUGGCCGGUACAAAGGGCUGCGAUGCCGUAAGGUUAAGCGAAUCCUUUUAAAGCCGGUCUCAGUUCGGAUUGGGGUCUGCAACUCGACCCCAUGAAGUCGGAGUCGCUAGUAAUCGCAGAUCAGCAACGCUGCGGUGAAUACGUUCCCGGGCCUUGUACACACCGCCCGUCACGUCAUGAAAGUCGGUAACACCCGAAGCCA
rnacentral:rRNA from 1 species